CGGUCGAGCUGAUGCCGGCGUCGCUGUCCUCACAAGACGUUUCCUCGUCGGACUAGUUGCUUCCUCGUCUCCUGAAUCCGCUUCUUCGGCUUCCUCCUCGUCCAUGACUCUCGCUCCUGCCCGCCCCUCCUUCUCGACCUGAGA
rnacentral:misc_RNA from 1 species